CUAGCAUUUGUGAAUAUAUAUACAAAUUAAUUAUUAAGUUUUUUAUAUUAAAUUAUCAAUUAUUAAACUUAUGAUUUUCAUAGUUUCAGUCAAAGUUUCAGAUGACGCUUCUUCUUUUUUUUCUUCAUCUUCUUCUUCUUCUUCUUUUUUGUGAAUCAAUUCAGAUCUCAGCUUCUCUUCACCAAUCGAAUUCACAAUUAGAUUUGUAGCUAUGGUGUAAUCGGAUGAGCUUCUAUGGUAUGGGUUUAUAGCUACGGAGAAGGUGGGGAAAGAACUACACCAAUCAAAACAAAAUCUGAUCAUGAUGAUUAUUGGAGGAGGAGGAGGAGGAGGAGGAGGAGAAGAAGAAGGAGGACAACGAACACCAUCGAUCUCACCACUCAGUGUUGAUGAUGAUGCAGAAUAUAGUGGGGGAAGAUCUUCUGGUUCUUUUCUUCACCAAUUUUGGGAUUUCUGAAUAUUUAGGAAAAUCUUCCUCAAUUUGAAGCACAUUUACCUAAACAUUAUGAAAUCUUUCCUAAAUUUAAAAAAAAAAAAGAAGAGAUUUUUAAUAAUUUAGUUAAUGUUUUGCCUUCAUGUAUCACAUAUUACUCUAUUGGUGAGGCAUACAUGA